AUCGCUUCUCGGCCUAUGGCUAAGAUCAAAGUGUAGUAUCUGUUCUUAUCAGCUUAAUAUCUGAUACGCUGCUCAUGGAGUAGCCAGAAUAUUAGCUAGAUUUUUGAAAUUUGGCGGAAGGCCGGAGCUUGCUCUGCCUCUGCCGAGGGUUGAGCCGGUAUUGCAGUAUCGCCGGAUUCAGCCCAUCCUAA